rnacentral:lncRNA from 1 species
ACGCUCCCCAGACCCCACUUUGUGGGACUAUACUGGGUAGUUGUUGUUGUUUUUAAACAAAUCUGCCAGUAUUUGCUAGAACACGAACAAUUCAUAUAGUCUUAACCAGAGUGCCAACUUUUGUACUGCGAAAGGUCACUGGCCCUAAAUCACCUUCGUCAAAGAAGUUUAUUAGCUUCUGCUGAACUGUGCAAAGGAUAUGAACUGCCUGAGCAGAGAAAUAUGAUUAUAGCUAACUACAUAGUCCAUCGACUGCAACAUCGUUUAGCACUCUAUCUGGUGAAAUGCUGAGCAAUUAGGUUAACUGGACCGAAACAGUAAAAAGUAAUAAUCUUCCCAUCAUUCUUGCAUUCUCCUGUGUCAAGUCUGGAUA